rnacentral:rRNA from 1 species
GAUGAACGCUGGCGGCGUGCCUAAUACAUGCAAGUCGAGCGAACGGACGAGAAGCUUGCUUCUCUGAUGUUAGCGGCGGACGGGUGAGUAACACGUGGAUAACCUACCUAUAAGACUGGGAUAACUUCGGGAAACCGGAGCUAAUACCGGAUAAUAUUUUGAACCGCAUGGUUCAAAAGUGAAAGACGGUCUUGCUGUCACUUAUAGAUGGAUCCGCGCUGCAUUAGCUAGUUGGUAAGGUAACGGCUUACCAAGGCAACGAUGCAUAGCCGACCUGAGAGGGUGAUCGGGCACACUGGAACUGAGACACGGUCCAGACUCCUACGGGAGGCAGCAGGAGGGAAACUUCCGCAAUGGGCGAAAGCCUGACGGAGCAACGCCGCGUGAGUGAUGAAGGUCUUCGGAUCGUAAAACUCUGUUAUUAGGGAAGAACAAAUGUGUAAGUAACUGUGCACAGCUUGAAGGUAACUAAUCAGAAAGCCACGGCUAACUACGUG